rnacentral:rRNA from 1 species
GAGCACGUAGGUGGGUUUGUAAGUCAGAUGUGAAAGCCUUCUGUUCAACGGAAGAAUUGCAUCUGAAACUGCUAAUCUUGAGUAUAGGAGGGGAGAAUGGAACUUCUGGUGGAGCGGUGAAAUGCGUAGAUAUCAGAAGGAACGCCGGCGGCGAAAGCGAUUCUCUGGCCUAUUACUGACACUCAGUGUGCGAAAGCUAGGGGAGCAAACGGGAUUAGAUACCCCGGUAGUCCCAGCCGUAAACGAUGGGCACUAAGUAGAGGGGUUUU